GGUAUAAUGGCUGAGAUUAGGCGAUAAAUUGUAAAUUUAUAAACGAAAAUUAUUUUCUUAUACCA
rnacentral:tRNA from 1 species